CAUCAGAAAACUUUUAAGUUUGAGUCUUUUAAACUCAAAAAGUAAUUUUCAUUACCACUGAUGA
rnacentral:tRNA from 1 species